CGGAGGUACUCGAGUGGCGAACGGGUGAGUAACACGUGGGUGAUCUGCCCUGCACUCUGGGAUAAGCUUGGGAAACUGGGUCUAAUACCGGAUAGGAGCCAUCUUUAGUGUGGUGGUUGGAAAGUUUUUUCGGUGUAGGAUGAGCUCGCGGCCUAUCAGCUUGUUGGUGGGGUAAUAGCCUACCAAGGCGGCGACGGGUAGCCGGCCCGAGAGGGUGUACGGCCACAUUGGGACUGAGAUACGGCCCAG
rnacentral:rRNA from 1 species